AUAAUCCGCGUUUAACCUCACCAUCUUUAGUUAAUCAGCCUGUAUACCUCCGUCGUCAGCUUACCACGUGAGCGCAAAUUAGUGGGCCCAAUGUUAUUACACCAAUACGUCAGGUCAAGGUGCAGCAAAUAAGAUGGGAAGAGAUGGGCUACACUUUCUAUUUUAGAAAAAACGGAAAACUACCUAUGAAACCUAGUUGGAAGGCGGAUUUAGCAGUAAAAAGGAAUCAACACGUCCAUUUUAACUUGGCACUGGGGUGUGU
rnacentral:rRNA from 1 species